CCCUUAGAUGUCCUGGGCCGCACGCGCGCUACACUGAGUGUCUGAGAUACGAGUCUGCCUGGUCCGGCAAGGUCUAGGUAAUCGCUAAAAGACACAUCAUGCUUGGGAUAGAUUAUUGCAAAUAUUAAUCUUGAACGAGGAAUUCCUAGUAAGCGCAAGUCAACAGCUUGCGUUGAUUACGUCCCUGCCCUUUGUACACACCGCCCGUCGCUACUACUGAUUGGAUGUUUAAGCGAGGUUCUCGAACUGCUAGCGACUUAGCUUCGGUGAGGUCGCAGUGUGGGAAGUGAACCUAGUUUUGGUGUCUAGAGGAAGUAAAAGUCGUAACA
rnacentral:rRNA from 1 species